GCUAUCGGCCAAACGUCCUUGUCAAAGUCUGAGAUUGCAGAAGCUAAGCAGGGCCGAGCCUGGUUAGUACUUGGAUGAGAGACCGCUUGGAAUUCCAGGUGCCACAGUG
rnacentral:rRNA from 1 species